CGAGUGCAAAAAAAGAACACCUGAAAACGAACUCGUGACAGCAAUUAUCGGAUAAAAUUAAGCUAAAGGAUGGAACGUACCGUUAAAGCGCCAGUACUGAAACAGCUGAAGCAGGAUGUGCUGAAUCAAAUGUCAGAUUAUUCAUUAUAACCUACACCUGUAGAAGGACAUAAACACCCAGAGGGUCAGUUCCAUGUUGUCGUUGGACAGUCGUAUGGUGAAGUAGAUCAGGAAACGGAAAUACACUGCAUGGAUAUUUAUUGAAAAAAAAACAUUUCCCCAUAAAUAGAAAGGCAUUUGUUCACCAGUAACAUAAUCAUUAAAAAGUGUCAAAAUCAGACAUGAGAAAUUUAGUCCCCCUGUGCAAUGUUGAAGAGUUAAAAUGUGAACAAGAGCACCGUCUAGCGGGAGCAGACUGUUCAUCUAUUUUCAUUUUUAAAGGUGAAGGGACCUAUCCCAAUACUUCAAUCCAAAGGGGGAGGGGUGAGGGUGGAGAGGGAUGUAUGGACAAUCCCAGAAUCGAUUUUAUGGGCGCCGCCAUAUUGGCUAUUACGUAACACAACGAUAGAAAACGGUACUGAAGAAUUUGACAGAUAACAGCUGAGUUCUACAGUGCUUAAAAAGAAAUGUCAAAUAUGGACGAUUCCAGACACAUAAGAAAGCUAUUUUUAAACGGUUUUCAAACGAUAAUUUAGUAGAAUAUUGUUUACGAAUUCAACUGUAAUGCUUAAUGGAACAGUUCGUUAGAAAUGCACUGUACGAACAUGUUCAGUGCUCACUCUGACCUUCAGAAAAUAAUAGCCAUAUGCGGACUUUUCCGCAAAACGGUACUGAAGGCAAAAAGAAAGAAAAAAACAAUGAAUCUCAUUUUAUCUAUGUUUUAUUAAAUGUAUAUCUAUUGGAUUUAAGUUAUAAAAUAUUAUCAUGGCUUUACAAUAAAGAAUACAAUCAAUG